GAGGGUAUACCUCAGUUAGUAGAGAGCUUGCCUUGUAUGCACACAGCCCUGAGUUCAAUCCUCAGUAUCACCA
rnacentral:tRNA from 1 species